CUACGGGGGGCAGCAGUGAGGAAUAUUGCACAAUGGAGGAAACUCUGACGCAGCAACGCCGCGUGGAGGAUGACGCAUUUCGGUGUGUAAACUCCUUUUAUAUGUCAAGAAAAUGACGGUAGCAUAUGAAUAAGCUCCGGCUAACUCCGUGCCAGCAGCCGCGGUAAUACGGAGGGAGCAAGCGUUACUCGGAAUCACUGGGCGUAAAGGACGCGUAGGCGGGAUAGAAAGUCAGGUGUGAAAUCCUAUGGCUCAACCAUAGAACUGCACUUGAAACUUCUAACCUAGAGUAUGGGAGGGGAAGAUGGAAUUAGUGGUGUAGGGGUAAAAUCCGUAGAUAUCACUAGGAAUACCAAAAGCGAAGGCGAUCUUCUGGAACAAUACUGACGCUAAGGCGUGAAAGCGUGGGGAGCAAACAGGAUUAGAUACCCUGGUAGUC
rnacentral:rRNA from 1 species